AUGCUCUCCCAGACCCAGCUUCUCUGGAUACUAGUGCUUUGGAUUCAGGAGUCCUGUGGCCAAACUGUUUUGACUCAGACUCCAGAAUCCCUGUCAGUGUCUCCUGGAGAGAGAGUCACCAUCAACUGCAAAGCCAGUACCAGCAUUAGCAACAACUUAGACUGGUACCAACAGAAACCAGGACAAGCACCUAAGCUCCUUAUCUAUGAUUCCACCAACCGUUACUCUGGAAUCCCAGCCCGAUUCAGCGGCAGUGGGUCUGGGGCUGAUUUCACUCUCACAAUCAGCAGCGUUGAAGUGCAAGACGCUGGAGAUUAUUACUGUCAGCAACGCAACAGCUACCCUAUCACGGUGAUACAGACCAUUACAAAAACCUCCCUGUGCACAGAGCACGCAG